CACCGAUCCAAUGGAAAUGGGUUGUCAGUGCUGAUAUGCAUGUCCCUAAGGUUGUACACGGCUCCCACUACCAAAUUUGACUGGUUUUG
rnacentral:sRNA from 1 species